GACAAACUAACAUAUGGUGUUGACAUGAAAGAAAUAAGAUGGUGCGGGAUUCUCUAGAUGUUCCUGAUUGGAAAUUUACCGUCUUUGACAGAGACAAUAGUGAUUAAGGGAAGAGUUUCACUGUAUCUUGUGGCGUUAGAGGAGAACUGGAUCCUCCUUGUAAUGUAGUGGGAUACAUUGAUGGACAAGUGUUGGGAAUCAAUCAUGUGUAUC